rnacentral:rRNA from 1 species
GCAUAUCAAUAAGCGGAGGAAAAGAAACCAACAGGGAUUACCUCAGUAACGGCGAGUGAAGCGGUAACAGCUCAAAUUUGAAAUCUGCCGCAAGGCCGAGUUGUAAUUUGUAGAAGAUGCUUUGGGUAUGGCCCCGGUCUAAGUUCGUUGGAACACGACGUCAUAGAGGGUGAGAAUCCCGUAUGUGACUGGGUGCUUUUGCCUAUGUAAAGCUCUUUCGACGAGUCGAGUUGUUUGGGAAUGCAGCUCAAAAUGGGUGGUAUAUUUCAUCUAAAGCUAAAUAUUGGCCAGAGACCGAUAGCGCACAAGUAGAGUGAUCGAAAGAUGAAAAGCACUUUGGAAAGAGAGUUAAACAGUACGUGAAAUUGUUGAAAGGGAAGCGCUUGCAACCAGACUUGCACGCUGUUGAUCAUCCAGGCUUCUGUUUGGUGCACUCGGCAGCGUUCAGGCCAGCAUCGGUUUUGGUGGUGGGAUAAAGGCCUUGGGAAUGUAGCUUCUUUCGGGGAGUGUUAUAGCCCUCGGUGCAAUGCCGCCUACCGGGACCGAGGACCGCGCUUCGGCUAGGAUGCUGGCGUAAUGGUUGUAAGCGACCCGUCUUGAAACACGGACCAAGGAGUCUAACAUCUAUGCGAGUGUUUGGGUGUCAAACCCAUACGCGUAAUUAACGUGAACGGAGGUGAGAACCCUUAAGGGUGCAUCAUCGACCGAUCCUGAUGUCUUCGGAUGGAUUUGAGUAAGAGCAUAGCUGUUGGGACCCGAAAGAUGGUGAACUAUGCCUGAAUAGGGUGAAGCCAGAGGAAACUCUGGUGGAGGCUCGCAGCGGUUCUGACGUGCAAAUCGAUCGUCAAAUUUGGGUAUAGGGGGCGAAAGACUAAUCGAACCAUCUAGUAGCUGGGUUCCUGCCGA